rnacentral:tRNA from 1 species
GGGCCUGUGGUUCAACGGUAGAACACGGCAUUCGCAUUGCCGGGAUCCGAGUCCAAUUCUCGGCAGGUCCACAA